rnacentral:other from 1 species
AGGUCCCUGCGCGGUUGGUGAUGAGUGAGACUAUCGUUGAACCAACACCUAUUUGAAGGGUUGCCGGGUUAUCCCGCUUCGAUGCCCGCCCCACGGUGGGAGACAGGCAGGGUACAGGUGCCCACCUGUGGUUUCGCAGGUUCAAAUAGAGUUGCUCACACGGCCGUUGUGGGGGCCUC